rnacentral:rRNA from 1 species
AGAUCUUGGUGGUAGUAGCAAAUACUCAAAUGAGAACUUUGAGGACUGAAGUGGGGAAAGGUUCCGUGUGAACAGCAGUUGGACACGGGUUAGUCGAUCCUAAGAGAUAGGGAAACUCCGUUUUAAUGUGGGCGCUUGCGCCCCACCCUCGAAAGGGAAGCCGGUUAACAUUCCGGCACCUGGAUGUAGAUUCUCCGCGGCAACGCAACUGAGAGUGGAGACCUUGGCGGGAGCCCCAAGAAGAGUUCUCUUUUCUUCUUAACAGUCUGUCACCCUGAAAUCGGUUUGUCCGGAGCUAGGGUUCAAUGGCUGGAAGAGCGCUGCACUUUUGCGGCGUUUGGUGCGCUCCCGACGAGCCUUGAAAAUCCGCUUGAAGAAAUAGUUUUUACGCCAGGUCGUACUCAUAACCGCAGCAGGUCUCCAAGGUGAAAAGCCUCUAGUUGAUAGAACAAUG